rnacentral:sRNA from 1 species
UGACUACCACCGCGUGUGCGGACACGUC